ensembl:lncRNA
UGUUAUUCUUUGUAUCGCUAUUCAUUGUCAGACCGAAGGCAAUCUACACACACAGUGAGUGCAUGAGAUAUCAAAACACCUCAAGCACAGAUAACUUCAACAGCAACAAUCACAGAAAUAAAGAAAUACAUAUAUGGUGUUGUGCAUACUCUACUCUAAGGCUGAGAACGACUCGAGCGUGAGUCUCAUGACGGUUGCGUGUUUAAGAGAAGAUCAUCAUUGAUUAAUGACUGAGAGAACCUCUAAAUACUCAUCCAUUACUAGAACUAUCCAUCACUAUGAAGACUUUAGAUGAAAAGCCUCCAAGUCUGUCUGAGAUUUGUCUGACAAGACACUUGAGUGUACUACAAGAAGUACUGAAGAAUAAUUUUUAGUAUAUUAAGUACAAAAUUAGGGUGUGCAAAUAAAGCACUUUUUGUACAUUAUGGAAAUGCACACCUGGGUUGUGUGAAAAGUAAUCAUGUAAUCCAUAAAAAGAAACUGUAAUCUGAUUGUGAGCAUUUUAAAAUGUAAUGUAAUCUAAUUACAAGUAUGCAUUCUUUGGAAUCUGAUUACAUAAUCCAGAUAACAUGUAAUCAGUUACUACCCAGCUUUGAAGACAAUACAUCUUUAGAGAAGCAGCGCAAUUUAUCAGUUCUGUCCUCCAGCUGCAUCACACACGUGUGUUUGAGUGUUUGGAGUGUGUGUGUGUGUCUGCGUUUGUGAGGUGAGAAUAGUUUCUCAAGUGUGAAAAUCUUGCUGUGUGUGUGUGUGUUCAGAGUCUCGGCUCAGGUGUAAACAAACUCAGAUGUGUGUUUGCUGGGAGUCAAACGUUCACAGAAAAUACACUUCACAAUAUGAGUAUGGAAAACAUCCCUCCAGUAUCUCGAUAAAAACACACUGGAGUAAAAGCAAAGAUGUUGCACAUUUAAUUGUAAUUGAUACUACAAGUAAACUGUCCAUUAGCUUAAGAUACAGACCGAAGAACUCAAAAGGGGUUUUCCAUAUUAAAGUAGUUUAAUAGAGCACUAAGCGAUUUUUGUAGCGAGUUAGUAUUUCGCAAUUCCAAGAUAAUUUGCGGCAAUUCUGAAUUCAUAUUCCAGAAUCCUGCAUUAGUAUCUCACAAUUCCGAGUUCAUAUCUCACAAUUCCGAGUUCAUACCUCACAACGCCGAGUUCAUACCUCGCAAUUCCAAAUUUAUUAUUUCACAAUUCCGGGUUCAUACCCCGCAAUUCCGAGUUCAUACCUCACAAUUCCGAGUUCAUACCUCACAACUCCGAGUUCAUACCUCGCAACUCCGAGUUCAUACCUCACAACUCCGAGUUCAUACCUCACAACUCCGAGUUCAUACCUCGCAAUUCCGAGUUAAUACCUCACAAUUCCGAGUUCAUAUCUCACAAUUCGGAGUUCAUACCUCGCAAUUCCGAGUUCAUAUCUCACAAUUCCGAGUUCAUACCUCACAAUUCCGAGUUCAUACCUCACAAUUCCGAGUUCAUAUCUCACAAUUCCGAAUUCAUAUCUCACAAUUCCGAGUUCAUACCUCGCAAUUCCGAGUUCAUAUCUCACAAUUCCGAGUUCAUAUCUCACAAUUCCGAGUUCAUACCUCACAAUUCCGAGUUCAUAUCUCACAAUUCCGAAUUCAUACCUCACAAUUCCGAGUUCAUACCUCGCAAUUCCGAGUUCAUACCUCACAAUUCCGAGUUCAUAUCUCACAAUUCCGAGUUCAUACCUUGCAAUUCUUUUCUUCUUUACUUUUCUUACAUUUACUUUGCUUUUCAACUUUAUAAAAAGUGAGGUUCUGCUCUUCAUCGCAACUCUUUAGGGUCUGUCAGGCUCUUAAUUGAUGUGUGAAGCUUCUUCCUCUCUCACAACCCUCUUCCUCCUUCUCCUUGUCUCUCUAUGGGACUGUUAUUGCUCUAUAAGAG